rnacentral:lncRNA from 1 species
AUGGAUUCCACUGGGGAAAUAGAGACAAAUUUAGAGGAAAGCAGAACAGAAAUGUUUCCGCAGGGAAAUGACUCAGAGGAGGUCAUACCUGUAGGUGAAACAGAAACAAGAUCCCAAGAAACUCGAAGAGAGAUCCCCACAGGAGAGAGGAUGUCGGAGGUGAUUGAUGUCACUGAAGAAAGAGAGUCAGAUUUAGAAGAAAUGGAAAGAGAAAUAUCCAUCCCAGGAAAGGUCUCAGAGGAGGUAAAAACUAUAGGUGAAAUGGAAACAGAUUUGAAAUACCUAGAAGGAGAAAUUUCCCACAGGGAGAAGGUAGUAAUAGAUUUCAGUCCUCUAGGGGAAAGGGAGAUUAAUUUGACAGAAACUGGAAAAGGAGACAUUUCUCUGAUGGAGACGAUAUUAGGAAAGAUGACUGUCACUGAGGGAACAGAGGCACAUUUGAAGGAAACUGGAAGAGAAAUUUCUUUGAGGGAGAGAGGAGCUGAGGAGAUUGGUGUUAUUGAGGAAACGGUAGCAGAUUUGGAGACAACUGGAAACGUAGACCUUUCUCUAAGAGAAAAACUGGAGCAGUGUCCUACCUCAAGACAGACUGGCACAGAUGCAGUGCAGAAGAGCAGUGGCGACUGCAGCACUGGGCCUUCCCUGCACGUGGAAAAUAUUGCCAGUGAAGUACAGCCAGCGGUCCAUACAUCUAUAAAAGAAAGUAUUCCUGUAAAGGAAGUGUCAGAUCACUCAGGUUGUUUGAAGACUGCUUCACAGACAUCUGAACUUGGUAAAACUGAAGACCAGGGGAUACAACCUCCAGAUGUUUCUGAGCACUUUUCAGAUACUAAUUUAAGCAAAUCUCUUCCUCAAGAACAUAAGCCACUUGAAGUGAAACCAGUACCUUUUGUGAGAAGUCGAUUCAAAAGACCAAAGCCAAACUUAGCAAGAGCAUCUUCAAGGAAAGAGACUAUAGAAGCAGGGAAAUAUGUGCCUGAGAAGUUGGAAACAAAUCAAAUGGAGAUCAUUGUGAUUCAUCAGGACAGUGAACAAGCUAAUCCUCUCCCUUUGCAACCUGAUGUGACUUUUCUAAAGGCAUCAAGAGAAAAAGAUAAACCAGGUUCCCAGAAGGAGGAAGCUGUGCUCUUCCAGUGUACACAUCCUGAGAAGAACCCAGCACCUUCACACACUUGUGAACUCAGAGAGGAUUCUCAGGCAACACACACCCAGGAAAAUGACUCACCUGUCCUCAUGGGGGUUCAAGAGAUAAACACUUUCCAACAAGACAUGAAGGAAAAUGUUACUCAAGUGGUUCUCACAACAAGGGCCCGACUACAGAGGCCCAGGCCAAAUGUAAGACAUGCUCGACAUAGGCAAGUAGUAGAAAAAGGUGAAGCCAAAGGAAUGAUUAAAGAUGAAAUGACAGUGCUACAAAAACAUGAAACUGACAAGAAAUUGGUGGCAGUGUCAAAUUCUCAAAUUGAAACUGAAAUUGAAAUUGUAUCCUCCAAAGUUUCACAAUGCAGUAUGGAUGAAAAUCAGAGUCAUGAGGUCCUUGCAGAAAGCCUACAUGUUAACAAAAAAAAAAUCUCAGGUGAAAAGAUGAGGCAUGAAAAUCAGCCAUGUGUUUCUAGUCCAGCAUACUUGAUAAGAAGGAAAUUCCAAAAGCCUAAGCCCGAUUUGGGAAGAGCCCGCAGCAGAAAAGUAGAAGAAGCAGGUAUAGACAAAGGCCCAGCAGAUCAGAGUGUAACAAGUAAACCAGAAAAUAAUUCAGUGCACCCAGGAAAUCCUGACACCCAGCUCCAUCUAAAAGAAGAAGCUGAAAUUGUGACAUCUGCAGAAGUUUCAGCAAAAGAUUAUAAAGGUUCAGAAGAGUCCAUUUUGGCCGAAAAAGAUGCUCAAUUAGAAGUUGCUGGACCAUCAGAAAGUAUUAGAGAGGAAACUAUACAAGAUAACUCUGUGUCUUCAAUCGUUGAAGAACAAUAUUUCAAUAAACUAACAAGCAGUCCACAACUGUUGAAAGAAUCAAAUUACUCUAGAACUGCUCUAGAUGGAAGAUCAGUGAACUCUGCUUCUCGGAGUGAGGUAGAUCAUGGAGAAAGGAAAAUGCAGAGGAAAGUCAAAGCCAGUGUCACCAAAGGGCGUGGAACCAAGCGAGCACGGGUUAAGACCUCCAGGAAGGAGCCGCGGGCUCCCAAGGCCAUGCUAGUGACUCUUCGGGCUUCCCAGGAAGAGGAUGAUGACGAUGCUCAGGAUUUUGAAUCUGACUAUGAAGAAGAGAACUGCCAUCUUGCCCCAGAGGAAGUAAACAAAGCACCAGUGUUUGUCCCUCUUGGUCUCAGAUCCCCUGAACCUGUUUCUGCUCAGGUUGAGGAAACAAUGGAAGAGCUUGAAAUAACGGUGAAUGUUGCAGAUGUCGGAUGUGUAACUGUUGUUGAACAUCAGCUCUCAAAUGCAGAUGUGACUAUUCAGAAACUAGAGCAAGAAUGUAACUUGAAUAUGCCAUUUGAAAUGACCACAGGUGAACACACCCAGGAUGAAGCAGGUCCCAGUGAUGGAAGCACGGAGGCAGCCAUAACCUUACUCACCAUGGGAGAACUGGUACUGCAGUCGGAGAUGAGCACGGAGCAGAAUGAUGUAGGAGUAUGUAUAUUUCCUGAUGAUCAUUCAAAGGAUAAAAGUCAUAUUUGUUUUAGCCCAGAUAAUUUAAGUCAUAAAAUUGUUCAUGAAUGUCAGGAGCUUUCUUCAUCUAUCAUUAAUACAUCUGCAUCUGAAGAAAAGGAGAGUGUAUCAGAGGAACAGAAUACUAAAGAAGAAGUUGAUUUAAAGGAGAAAGCAGUGGAGAGCACAUCAACCAGGAGUAUAGCUUCUAAAGUGGAGAGUGAUUUGCAAAUAAAAAGUACAUUCACCAGGCCUGAGCUGAAUCUUGACGCUUUAGUGACCAGCAGGGUUGAUGCUCUUCAGGAAGUUUCUAGUUUAUCUGAAAGGGAAGAAGGGGAAAGUCAAAAAGAAACUGAGAACAGUGCUUCCAAAGCAAUAGAAGUGGAAUGUAAGACCCCUGGACUAGUCAUGACAGCAGAGAGUCAGGAGCAGAACCAGUUGGCAUGUGCGCAGGAUAUCAGAGUGACCAGUAUUUCACAGGAAGGAAGCCCAGCCAAAAGAAAUGAGGAUCAAGAAGAGAGCUCUCAAGAGGUUCAGAUGUUGCCAGUUGCUCCCAUUUUUCCCUCUGAGGCAGGGCCCCCCACACUUGUUUCCAGUCUCGGUGAGAAUUCUGUUGAAGAACCCUUGAUAAAGGAUGCUAAAGGAGACAGCAGGCCCACUCUUCAUGCACCAGAGUGCAUGCGAGCUAGUAUUCCAGAAGUGCAACAGGAGAAUAUAACCAACACUCAAGAUCCAACAGAUGUACAUCAGGACGGAGAGGAUGAGCAGGCAUUCAUUCUAACUUUGGUGGAAAUCCCAGCCAGUGCCGUGGAAGAAUUCACUGAUGCUGCUGUACAGUUAACGCCAAACCCUGUGCUGCCCGCACCUAUCCUGGUCAAAUCUGGUAAUUCUGAAGAAAAGGGUGACAUUAGGUAAUGAAUGGAAACUUGUUUUUACUAAGAAAAAAAAGGGGACACUUUAUGAAUCAAA